rnacentral:lncRNA from 12 species
CCACGGAGGAGUUGCCACAAGGUGUGGGGAGAAGCGGGUGCAGCUCAGGGAGGAGAGGGGGCCGGCGCCUCUCACCUGGAGGCGGGGCCGCUGCCACUUGCAGCUGAGCCUGCACCUUCUUCUGCACCUUCUUCCAACAACUCCUCUGCGCCCCAUUUGUCCAGGUGUCAUGGUUUCAGCUUUGUCAGCCUCACAAAGGAAAGGACUCCUUGACAGAGGACUCUGCUCUACUCAUCCCUCAUCACUGGCCACUGGCGCAGCUCGUUAACACAUCAUUUCACAGGAGUAUUAAUACAUCAACCUGAGCAAUGAUCUUGAAGACAAAGAGUUCAUCAUAACCAGCCAGAGGGUGUCUUACACACCUGCCCGCUGCUCUGUGCUACAGAAAGCAGUACCGUGGCUAAGAACAAAAACUCUGUCCAGGUUGAACCUUGGCUCUUCGUGACCCCUGACAACUUGACUCUGCGCCUCGGUUUUGCCAUCUGGAAACCAAAGAUAUUGGUUAUAUGUGAACUCCUCAGAUGGUUGAGAGGAUUAAGCAAGCUAUACGUAAACCAAUAAGUUUAGAAAAGUUCCUGUCACAUAAACAUUAUGUUGAACUGCUCAGAAAAAGAAAGUUUUCCUGCUCAACUGGUAACAAGACAGCUCAUAUUUAGAAGCCUUUCUUAACAUCCAGGAGAAGAGAGCAGGCUACAGAAAGAAAAUCCAAACAGGGUGAGAAUUCUUUAUUAUUACUUGGACACAUAAAAGCCAAACACAGAACUUCAGUCCUGUGGGAUGUUGCUUUCUUCACAAGAGAAGUUGGCCAUUCGGAAUAGAUUUAUAUGGGCUCCACACAUAUGUACACACAAAAUAUAACAGUAAGAAAGUUCAGAUAGAAAAUAAAAAAAAAAAGAAAAAUUCA